UACGUAGGGUGCAAGCGUUGUCCGGAAUUAUUGGGCGUAAAGAGCUCGUAGGCGGUCUGUUGCGUCGGCUGUGAAAACCCGGGACUCAACUCCGGGCCUGCAGCCGAUACGGGCAGACUAGAGUUCGGCAGGGGAGACUGGAAUUCCUGGUGUAGCGGUGAAAUGCGUAGAUAUCAGGAGGAACACCUGUGGCGAAAGCGGCUCACUGGACCAUAACUGACGCUGAUGCACGAAAGCUAGGGGAGCAAACAGG
rnacentral:rRNA from 1 species